UGGCUCAUACUAUGUGGAAACUGCCAA
rnacentral:piRNA from 1 species